rnacentral:rRNA from 1 species
CUACGGGUGGCAGCAGUGGGGAAUAUUGGACAAUGGGCGAAAGCCUGAUCCAGCCAUGCCGCGUGUGUGAAGAAGGCCUUCGGGUUGUAAAGCACUUUCAGUGGGGAAGAAAGCCUUGGGGCUAAUACCCUCGAGGAAGGACAUCACCCACAGAAGAAGCACCGGCUAACUCCGUGCCAGCAGCCGCGGUAAUACGGAGGGUGCGAGCGUUAAUCGGAAUUACUGUGCGUAAAGCGCGCGUAGGCGGUCUGAUAAGCCGGUUGUGAAAGCCCCGGGCUCAACCUGGGAACGGCAUCCGGAACUGUCAGGCUAGAGUGCAGGAGAGGAAGGUAGAAUUCCCGGUGUAGCGGUGAAAUGCGUAGAGAUCGGGAGGAAUACCAGUGGCGAAGGCGGCCUUCUGGACUGACACUGACGCUGAGGUGCGAAAGCGUGGGUAGCAAACAGGAUUAGAUACCCAGUAGUC